GUAAGGAAUAUUGGUCAAUGGGGGCAACCCUGAACCAGCCAUGCCGCGUGAAGGAUGAAGGCGUUAUGCGUUGUAAACUUCUUUUGUAUGGGAAGAAUGACAGGGAUUUAUCCUUGGAGAGACGGUACCAUACGAAUAAGCACCGGCUAACUCCGUGCCAGCAGCCGCGGUAAUACGGAGGGUGCAAGCGUUAUCCGGAAUCACUGGGUUUAAAGGGUCCGCAGGCGGGCUAUCAAGUCAGAGGUGAAAUCCCACAGCUUAACUGUGGAACUGCCUUUGAAACUGAUGGUCUUGAAUUAAGUGGGCGUUGGCGGAAUAUGACAUGUAGCGGUGAAAUGCAUAGAUAUGUCAUGGAACACCGAAAGCGAAGGCAGCUAACGAUACUUAUAUUGACGCUCAUGGACGAAAGCGUGGGUAGCGAACAGGAUUAGAUACCCCAGUAGUCC
rnacentral:rRNA from 1 species